rnacentral:lncRNA from 1 species
AAUGAAGUCAUUUUAUUGAUUUUGUUAAGUUUUUCAUCUACAAUAACAGAUUAUGCAUAUGAAUAGCAUGUAAUUGCUUAAAAAAACAUAUAUUAUUCAAUAAAAAAAUGAAAAGUAGUACAAAUGAAUGAAAAAAAAUACAACUAGUUAAAAUUUUGAAAAUCUGAAAAUUAAAGUUGAAAAAUCUAAUAAAAACUUAACAUAAUCUUACAAGCGAUUAAGGAGAGUAGCAAUAAACAAUAAUAUAUUGGAUUACAAUAAUCUAGGAAAUUAAUUUUAGAAUGAAAUGAUGUAAAAUCAAUGGUAUAUAAAAUUAAGUCCACAUCUUAGUUUUCUUUUUGGGGAUAAUUGGGCUAUUGUAAAGCAUGCUGUUUAAUUUCAACCAAAUUAGUUUUUUUGUUACCUGCUAAUAUAUACAGUAACAAGAAGGAUUUGAUAGUAAACAAACUAGUUCUGGAAACAAAAACAAUGGCUCGGAAGUUGAUAUAUGAUAUAUGUUAAAUAGCUAAAAAUGAUGAUUAUUUGUUUAAAUUUUUAGAACAAUUAUCUACCAUAUUUUACCCGAAAUAUAUAUUUUUGCAGAAAAAGCUCGUAAAAUCCCUCGAAGAUGUUGGCAGUGGACCGAUUGGUCACGGUCCCUUUGUUAUGAAAGGAGAGGAAGAGAAAAACAAUAAGGAGAGAAACAAAGGGGAAGAGGAAGCUUUGAGUAAAGCAAGAGAGUCUCAUCUAGUUGUUGCGGCGCUGAUAGCAACAGUAACAUUUGCAGCAGCAUUCACCCUCCCUGGAGGUUACAAGAACGACCAAGGUCCAAAUGAAGGCACUGCAAUUCUUGCUAAAAAAGCUGCUUUUAUAGUAUUUGUUAUAUCAGAUGCAAUGUCAAUGGUGCUCUCUCUUUUAGCUGUCUUUAUCCAUUUUAUGAUUUCGCUGAUUCAUGGUUUUAAAAUGGUAAAGGAUGAAGCGAUGGAUGAGAAUACCACUGGGAUAUUAUCUGGGUAUGCCAUGUUGCUGACAAUGAUUGCCAUGGGUACAAUGAUUAUCGCAUUCAUCACGGGCACAUAUGCGGUUCUAGAGCCUUCCUUGGGGCUUGCUAUCAGCACUUGUUUUAUUAGUCUGAGUUUCUUCUUCCUUGUGUAUUUAGUGUGUAAGUUCAUUUACAAGAAUUUAAUAAAUUAGAUUUACCGGUGAAACAAUCAAUUCUAAAUUUUAUAUCAAAUAAAACUCCGAUGUAUAUUUUUUUAAAAUUCUUAUUGUUUUUUUUAAAAAAAAUUAUGAUGUCAUAGGUUCAGAAAUCAUGUGUUUGAUUCCUAAAUCAGUUGUUAAUUUUUUAUAUUUUAUUUUGCAAUUGACACGAUCACAAGUUAAUUAGUCAAAAACUCUAAUAUCAUUUUGUUGAUUUUGUUAGGUUUUUCAUCUACAAUAACAGGUUAUGCAAUGAAUCACAUGUAAUUCAAUAAAAAAACGAAAUUAAUUAAAAUUUAAAAAAUCUAAGAAUUAAAUUUGAAAAAUCAAAUAGAAACUUAUCAUAAUCUUUCAAGCAAUUAAGGAGAGUAACAAUAAACAACAAAUAUUGGAUUAUCCCUCCUAGGAAAUUAAUUUUAGAAUGAAAUGAUGUAGAAUUAAUGGUAUAUAAAGUUAAGUCCACAUCGUAGUUUUCUUUUUGGGGAUAAUUGGGUUAAUGUAAAGCAUGCGGUUUCAUUUCAUCCAAAUUAGUUUUUGUUACCUUCUAAUAUAUACAGUAACAAAAAGGAUUUAAUUGCAAAUAAACUAGUUGCAGAAACAAAAACAAAGACCCAGAAGUUGAUAUAUGAUAUUUGUUAAAUAGCCGAAAAUAAUGGAUAUUUUACCCGAAAUAUUUUGCAGAAAUAGAUCUUAGAAUCCCUUGAAGAUGCUGGCAGUGAACCGCUUGGCAGUCGAGUUUUGAGAAUAGAGAAUGUUGAGAUAAAGAAAGAAUUAGAAUGUCUAAUUGGUUUGGUUUGAGCUUCUUCUUUCCUUAUAUAUUUCGUGUUGAGGUUCAUUUACAAGAAUUUAGGAGAUACGAUUUGGUAGUGAAACAAUUAAUUCUAAAUUUUCUAUCAAAUAAAAUUCAGAUGUCUUUAUUUUUUAAGACAUUCUUAUUGUUUUUGAAAAAAAUUUGUGAUGUCAUAUGGUCAGAAAUCAUGUGGUUGGUUGCUAAAUCAGUUGUCAAUUUAUAUUUUUUAUUUUUUAUUGUAAUUAAGGCGCAUCACAAGUCAAGUGGUAAAAAACUCUAAAACAAUUAUUUAUUUAUUUAUUUAUUUUUCUUAUUUAUGACUAAAAUUUAGUGAUGCAAAUACUAGUUGGUACAACUAAAUUUAUUUUCCAAGUAUAAUUUUCUUCUGAUGGUUUGUUUAUUAAUCAAGAUUGUACUUGCAAAGUGUUUGUUAUUGUGUUUAAAAGGUAUUAUUAGAUUAUGUUUUUAAUUUUAUAUUAAUUUUUUUUAUAAUUUUAGAUUGUUUUAAUAUAUUAAUAUUAAAAAUAAAUUUUUUUUUUAAUUUUUUUUUUAAUAUAUCUUUAAAUAAAAAAUAUUUUUAAAAACACUUUACCACAAUCAUAAUAAAAAUUACUCUCAAAAGUGGGAUAUGCCAAGUUUCAUUCCUCGUUGGCUCCUGUGUCAGCUAGCUAGCUUGUUCCAUGAAGUGCAUGUAUGGUUGGACUAAUCUCAUCGACUCCAAUAUUGGAUGGCAAGUCAGACCUGUGGACAUGUGUUUUGAUAGCAUAAAAAUUUUAAAUUAAAAAUUGAAAUGAUGAUGUUUGUAUUUUAAAAAAAAUUUAAAAAUAUUUGCAUUAAUAAAUCAUAUAAAGAAUAGUUAAUCUAAUUAAAGCCUAAAACAGUUGGGUUGUUUUUUUGUUGUAAAAAAACAAAAAAAUAAAUGCAAGUGUAAAUAUUUAACCUAGUAACAUGGUUGCUUUUUAUUUUUUUUAUUUAAUUGUAUAAAAAUAAAAAUGAAUAUUGUUAAUAAAGAUAGUUAUUUGAAUUCUCUGGAAAAAUAUAUUUUUAGUUAAAAUUCUCUUUUCAUAAUAUAUUUUUUAAUUUGAAAAACAUAUUUUUGUAAUAACAAUAAAGUUUAUUGGAUAAAAAAUAAAGAAAACUACAAUAGAAAUUAGAAAUAUUGUAUUGAUUUAAAAUAAAGAGUGAACAAUGUAUCCAAUCAAAACUCCUUUUUUUUUUAUUAAUGUGUUUCUUUUUUUUAAUUAGGAAAACAUGUUUUUUUUUUUAAGAAAUAUUGUUAUUUUAAAUUAAAAAUUACCAAAAUCAUAUAUAUUUUAGAAUUUCUUACUUUUCUAUCAAAUAAAAUUAAGAUGUAUUUAAAAAAAUUAUAAAAAAAAUAUUUAAAUUAUCUUCGAAAUAUUUUAAAUAAAAUUCUAAUAAAUUUUUUUAUAAAAAAUAUUUAAACUAUUUUUGAAGUAUUAUAAAUAAAAAUCCUAAUUAUUUUUUUUUAAUUUUUUAUAGAUAUUGAAUCUGACAGUAAUGUCAAAUGGCACAAAUCCAAGAGCCUUGUAUCUAAUAGUCAUGCUAAACCCAAAGUAUUUUAGUAUGGCCAAUUCAGAUCUAAAAAACUUGGGUAUGACCAACAUUUUAAUUUGACAAACCAAAAAAAAAAAGAGGAUAAUUGAGCAGUUUAAUUUUCAGGAAAAAAAAAAGUAAAUAACUAGAGAAAUAUAAAAAGAUAAAAUUAAAAAUAAAACUCCUAUAAUUGCAAUACGCUCUUGAUUUACCAUGAUUUCUCUACCGCAUUUAACUUUUAUUAUAAUUGCAAUACGUUCCUUUUUAAGUAUUGUAAUAUUAUAUGAAUUAUCUAAAUGUUUAAAGAUUUUGAUAAAAAAAAAUCCCUGGCCCUUUAGGCCCGAAAGUGAGUGCAGGCAGGCACGCUUUGUUGUAUUCCUGGGAUGUUAUUUUUUUUAAAAUAUAGCUAGAAAAGAUAAAAAUAUUUAAAAAAUAGAACACUUUGAUUUAAUAUUUUAUAACCAUUAAUAGAAAUGAUAGUUGUAAAUAAUCAUUAUUGUUAUUAGCACUUAUAAACAGACGCUAUACAGCUACUAGGCGUGUUAUGUUACUAAUAAAAUCAGUUUUUUUUACUGUCAAAAUAUGGAUGGUCAAAUAUUUUAUAUUUACUUUUUUUUUUGUAACUUUCUCUUUCCUUUCAAAUUAUAAUAACUAUUGAAAUCCUAACAUGAAACCUUAGAAAACAUAUAUAGGGACUAAAACUGGAAAAAAAAACUUUGGGAAUAAACUAUAAUUUUCCAUGCUUCAUAAACAAUAAAAAAGAAAAAAAGGAUUUUUUGUUUGUGUGAAACUUGGUCAGCACUGUAUAUAUUUUUUUGAAUUGAUAAAAUUAAAUUAAGUUUUAUAAAAUUAAUGAUCAAUUUAAUGCCAUGGUAUUUUUCUUAUAUCAUGAAGACAGCACCACAAGCAAACCAAACCCUGUUAAAAUUAUGUGAAGAGAAUGAAAUUAAAAAAAAAAUGAAUAAUUGAUUAAGGAUAAAAAAAUAAAAUUAAAAAACCAAGUCGGAAUUAGAUGCACUGACUGCAUUUAGGAUAAUUGUGCAUCGUAGCUUGAUUUUGUAUCACUGUCACUGCAUAAAUUCCAGCUUUUCUGUUCAAAGAAUUUCAGAUCUUUUGUCCAUGCAUGUAUUUGACGCUAAAAGUUAAUCAAUGGCUACAGGAAAAGCUUUUAUAUGUGUGUGUGUGUGAUGAUCGUCAAUUCAAAAAAAAAAAAAAAAAAACAAUCCAGCAUAGUUCAAUAAAUAAUUGUUGCAUGCAGAUGAUAUAUAUUGAUUGGUAGUGAGUAUUUUGCUUUCGAUGACAUUAUUGGAUUCACUUUUCUCCUUGAAUGCAUUGUUAAUAAACUUGGGCUCAAAUUAACUUAGAUAUAUAAAAAGUUUUUUAAAAACCCAUGAACUAAAAAAAAAAAGUUAGAAAAAAACCUAUGAAAAUUCAGUAAAAUCCCAUAAAAACUCAGAAAAAGCAAAAUAGGUUUUGCCUGUUUUUGUUAAAAAAAAAAACCACACCAAACCAAAACUAGUUGGCUUGAACUGAUUUCUAGUUCAGUUUAAUUGUGAAAUUUUUUUUAAAAAAUAUUUGGUUUAUUUUUUAACCAAAAAUUAAUUUGAUCUCAACCAACCGUCAACUUGUUAUCUUCGUUUAAAGCCACUACUCUAAUAUAGCAUGACCACACAUCAUUUUAAACUUAGUCCUAUCUAAGUACUAGUUUAUAAAAGCAUAUGUUAAGUUAUUCAAAUAGUCUGUAUGUUAUAAAUCCUCAUGUAGAUGAUCAAAAAUUUUAGUUUCCACAAACCUGAGUGUAUCAUUUAGGUAACAUAUAACUAUCUAAAUCGAUAACUAAAACUUGAUUAAUUGCAUUAGAUUUUGGUAUUCAAAAUUUACACUCGUCAGGUUUUGAGUCAGAUAUUGAUAAUGUUUUAGGUUUGAAUUCAAGUAUAGAUAAUACAAAAACCUAACCCGUGAAUACCUAUUAUCAUUCCUUUACAAAGAUUCAAUGACCGAAUGAAAUUGUUGUACGUGUGUGGCGUCGUGAUGGGUCUUCCACUCUCAUAGGUUUGUCUAGGUAAUUAGUGUCGCACCCGACAUCGCGGCGGCCUUAAAAAUAAUGUUUCAUGGAAAGAAAAGAUUUUUGGCAUCUUGUUCUUUUAAGGAAAAAUAUCUUGUUUUUAAGGAGUCACCACCUAGUAUUAUGGUCACUAGGAACCCUAACUGGUCAAUAGAGAUUCUAUGGUUCGGGACUGGUUACGUAAAAGAGAAGAUAUUAUCACCCCUUAAACGUUCUGCCUGAGGCAGACUGCAUUGCUGGUUUUGUCUUAAAUUGCUAAACGUUUAUUAGUUUAGGCUAUGAUAAUUUGCUUAUAAUAUUCCUAACUCUGGCGACAGUGAAUAUUCAACUACGGAUACUUUCAACUCUGGCGUUGGUAAAUAUUACGUAGCUAUAAAAUAAAUUUAUAUCAAUAUUUUUAUUCUUGACUCUAGCAUCAGUGAAUAAACAAAUAAAAUAAAUUUAUUUUUACGCAUGCACAUAUUUUUUAUUUUUCUGGCUAAAUAAAAAUAAAAUACAAUGAAUAAUAUAAAUUUAAACCGGUAUUUUUAUUCAUGACUCUGACCCAAGUGAAUAAACCAAUAAAUUUAUAUUAUUUUUAUUCAUGCAUGCACAUUUUAUUAUUUUUUAUUUUUUUGGGCUGGGCUGGACCCAGCGGCCCGGCCCGGUCACUGGCCCAAGCCAGUGACCCGGCUGGCCCCUUCUUUUUUUUACCCGCAGGCAUGCGUGAACUGCUCACGCACGCCUGCUACAGAAACAUGAUAAUUAAAAUGAAAGGGGAGGGAAACGCAGCUUACCUGUUGCUGUACUUGAAGAUGUGGUGACGGUAAUGGAGGGCCGGCCGGUUAAUGCAACUUUCCACUCCUGCGUUCCUUUUUUCUGGUCUGCUUUCUCUCUGCCUUUUUAUUUCUGGUUUCCUUCUCCUUCUACCUCUCUCCUUCUGUCCCUCUCUAUAUCUACUUAUCUCUCUGUCCUCUGCUUCUUCUUCUUCGUCUUCCGUCCUCUGUCUCUGGUUCUACCACAUUCUCGGUGUCGUCCCCUUUCUUUUGUGAUUCUUUGUUCUGCUGCCUCUGGUUCUGGAGGCUGGUUGCUGAAGACUGUGAAGACGAUGGUUCAUGCCGGUUCUUGUCUCUGCGCUUUCGUCCGCUGGGUUGAGUUUGCGUCUCCUUUGCUCCUGGUUUUUAUAUUCUGUCACCUUCAGUUCUGAGAUGAAGGGACAAAGACGAUGGUGGGGCUGAUCCUCGUCUCUGUGUCGUUCCUCUGCUUUUUCUCUCCUUCUCGGUUUCUUUGUUCUUUUUUCUGUGUUAUUCGUUCUCUGUCCCCCCUGUAUGCUUCCCCUGUUUUUUCUCUGUUCAGCUCUGUGAAUUUUUGUUCUCUGCCGUUCGUGGCUUUUCUUUUUUUCUCUCCCCCGGUGCUCAGUCGUUCUAUGGCUUUUAUAGCCAGAGAAAACAAUGCCGUUUCUUCCAACCAUAAAGUGUGAUAAUUGCAGAAGUAAUGGCUGUGCCUGUGCGGCGGUGGGUGUCCGUUUCGGUCGGGUGAGGAAGAUGAACAGUAACUGGAAACGGUGUCGUUUCGGUAUUCACAGUUAUAUGCAUUGUGGCCCUUGAAGUUUGGAAAGUGUUGUAAUUAAGCCCCUGGUUAAAUUGUAAUCGGACCCCUGCAUUUCGGCUCCUUUUACAAGUUAGUCCUUAGAUUUUAAUUGUUGCAAUUUGGACCCCAAUUAAACUCCAAACUUUGAUAUUUCUUCAAUUAAGUCCCUGAUUUCAUUAAUUUAAUUAAAUCCAAAGUCCAAUUAAGUCUGAAACUUAUCAAUUCUCCAACUAAACCCCUGAUUGGAUGAAUUAAAUUAAUUCCAAGCUUAAUUAAGUCUCAAAACUUAUCAAUUCUCCAAUUAAACCCUUGAUUGGAUGAAUUAAAUUAAUUUCAAGAUCAAUUAAGUCUCAAAACUUAUCAAUUCUCUAAUUAAACCCUUGAUUUGAUUAGUUGAAUUAAUUCCAAAGUUUAAUUAAUCCCCAAAACUUCCAAUCAUGGUGCCCUUAACCCAAUUUUAAUUUAUUCUUCAUUUUUUAUUUGCUUUUCAUCAUCAUUAUUUUUAUUAUCAUUUUUCAGUAAAUAAAAUAAUAGUAAUAAUAAUAAUAUAAAAAUGGUCAAAAAUUGAGUUAUGACAAUUAGGAAAAUGAAAAAGACAAGAAAUUCUUAUCUUUUAUCAGUGGAAAGAGGGAAUAAGAGUUGUCACCUAAUAUUUUGGUCACUAGGAACCCUAACUGGUCUUAGAGAUCGGACAUGGGGACUGGUUGCGUAAAGAAAAAAUAUCAGCAAGAAGAUAUAUGCUAAGGUAUAAUUGUUGUUCCGUUUAUGGUUAAAAAAAAGUCCUUCUCAGUAAGAAGAUCAUUAUUUUAUUGGGUAAAACAUAAUCAUUCUAACAUCAAUAAAAAGAACUAGCUUAUUAAUAUUGGGGAUUCGUUUUACGUACGAGCUCGAAAUCCUUAAUAUUAAAAGAAAACAAAUUGAUUUUUUUGGAAUUUUUGAAAUAUUCACCUAGUUUUCAUGAAUUUAAUAAACUAGUUAUUAAAACUGAAAUGCAUGUUAAAACAUAUUUUUAAAUUUUUGAUGUAUGAAAAUACAAUAUGAUUUUUUUUUGAAAGACUUCGCUGUAUGCAUGAAAACAAGAUAUUUUUUUUGUUGUUUAUAAUUUUUCUCGAUGUUUCGAUGAAAAUCGGGUAUUUUAAUAUCAAAUUUGCAUCUUUAUGGUAUAAAAAUACAAACCAAUAAUAAUCAAAAUAGAUAAAAAAUACACGGGAAAAUAAAAAAAAUUAGAAAGGAUUUUUUUAAAAAAUUGGAUUGGGUUGGGUCGGACUUAUCCAGCUCAGUGAACAGUGGAGUACUCUCUAGUGUUCACGUUAACAAUGAAGAGUGAAUCAAUUCACUUAGUGAAUAGUGAAGGAAACCGACGAAGAUAAAGAGGAGAAUGAGGAAGAAGGAAGAGGGGCGGACUUGCGGUGGCUUUGUGGCGGUGCUGGUGGUUGCUGACCGGAGAGUUGCUUGUUCGGUGGUUGGUUCUUCUUCUUCUCUGCGUAUUUUCCUUAUGUUCUUCUCCUUUUAUUCUAUAGCGGAGGCGGCGGCAGUGACAUUAGAGGCAGACCGUCUACAGGCGGCGGUUGCUGCAAUUUUCUUCUUCUUCCCUGUGCAGAGGGCCCGGCCUCUGUUUUUCCUGUUGGUCGUUCUUCCCUUUUCUGUCUUUUUUGCUUACUCUGUUUUCAGUGUAGUCGUUCUCAGUGGCAGCGGUGUUGGUGGUGGAAUGAAGGUGGUCGCUGCGGUGGCUCUUUUUUUUCUCUCUUCUACUUCUUCCCUCUAUUCCUUCCUAUUUCCCACAAACAAUUCCCCAGCCCUUUCUCAAACUGUCUUUCUAUUUCCUUCUCUCUAUAUUAUUCUCCCAGAACAAUUUUUCUCCCCCCUUUCUCUCAAAUCUCGCCCUGUAUUUAUAGGAAGCUAGGGGAGAGGGUCACCAUACCCUGUCCAAGUGCAGGGCAUGGUGACCGAGGUAUGGGUCAUCUUUCUUUCUUAUUAUGGUGGCAUGGGCAUAUGAGUAUGGGUUUUUUAAGGUUUGUGCAAGUGGGGGGAAGAGAGAGAGUAGGAAAAAACAUUCAAAAUCCUUCAUCUUCCCUGUCUCUAUGUUCGUAGGGAAGAAGAAGAUACACAGUGCCGUUCAAAACGACAUUAUGUAAUUUUUUUUAAAGGUGCAUGAAAUGAAUUUGAGGAAUAACAAAAAAAAAGGGUUAUGGAAACUUUUUAUUUAAGAAAAAUAUUUGAAAAGCUUAAAGAAUUUUGAAAAUUAAUUUUGAAAAAACAUAUAUUUUUUCAUAAUAUUAUGGAAAUAAAAAAUUGAAAACUACAAGUCACAAAAAUUCUUAGAAUAUUUAGGAAAUAUAAAAAAACCAUUUGGGUGUUAAUUGGGCAAAACCACACACUCAUUUGUAUGCUAAAAAAUAAAAGCGAGAGAAGUUAUAUCCACACUAGGUUGGAUCCUAGUCAAACUGGGUUAAAAUCCAUCUCAAUCUCAAUUAGACAGGAUGAUUCCUGAUAUCUAUUGAGUGAUGACGUUUUCGUCCCUAAUUUUAUGAGGUUCUUGGCUUACAUAAUAUUAGUCCCUUAUCUCUAAUUGUUUUCCAAAUUUGGUCCCCAACCUAGUUAUAAUUUUCAACCAACUGGUCCAAGAAUUCUCAAUUGGAUAUGUCCAUAAAAAAUUUGCUUAAGAAUUUUUUCAUCUGAGUCCACACCUAUAGAUAACUUCAAAGUAUAAUAUUUGAGGAUGAAAGGAUCAGAUUGAUAAUUCAUAGAUACUUUUUGGACCCAAUUGCUUAAAUAUGUAGGUUAGGGACACAACUGAGAAAAGGGUAAUAGCGAAUAAGUUGAGUGCAAAUAUGAGAAUAUUAUCCCCUUUCUAAAACAUUCCAAGGCAUCUCUUCUUUGGAGAAGAUUUAUUAGAGUUUGUGGAGGAGUACAUCCUAAUCCUAUCAGAAUGAUAUUAAUGUAGAUCAGAAUUUUAAUUUCAAUUGAUGGCGAUUUAGUUUAGUAAAAAGAAAAGAUCAACGGAGCACGGUUUUCUCAACAGACAAAACCAUGCCUAGGGAACAAGUCAGAAUAAAACAAUUUAUAAGUUGCAAAAUGAAUCGGAAAAAAGCAUUUCUUUUGUAUAUUUUAUAGCUUCAUGUGAACAAGGUUUAACAAAACAUAAAGUGAAAAGGAAAUCAGUACAUGUAAAACAAUGUAGCAUAAGUACAUAUAUAGUAAGAAUAAUAUAUACUACGUUGUUCACAUUAUAGAACAACCAUGAGGGUUUUCAUCGCUGAAAACUGCUCCUGUCUGGUGGUUAAAGAUGGAGGAAUGCACAGGAUGAUGAUAAUAACCAUGAUCGUUGCUAUCGUAUCCAUGCUUGUAGUAAUUGUAAGAAGAGGAAGGCUGAGGAGCAUAGUAAGUAAGUGGACCGUUAACUUGGUGUUGGUUGUAGGAAUGGUCAGAAUAGCUAUGAUGCUGUGGAUUGUAAGGUAAUUGCCAGAGCUCAGCCCUUCUUCCUGUCUUACGAACUGUCUUAAGAACCUUCUUUUGGUCAGCCCAUCCUGUGACCGUCACCUUUUGCAACCCCAUAUCUAUAUCUAUGUCAUCUACGCCUGUGCGUGCAUACAUAUAAUAAAUACAAAAGUUUAAGAUAUAGUCCAAGAAAAUAUGUCCAAAGAAAACCUUAAAAAGAGAGGAACAGAGAAAAUAAUUCAUGAAAAAAAAACAGGAUGAUUAAGAUGAAAAUUGUCGCAUGCAUAAAGUUUUUAGUGGAGGUGAUUUCUUACCUUUGACUUUUUCCAGAGCAAUUUUCACCUUGCUCUCGCAUCCAGCACAAUCUAUAUGCACUCUCAUUUCUAUGAUCGACUGAGUAAAAUACAACGAAAAUUUUCAAUACAACUGUGCCAUUCUUUCUUUUCAGUUGUAAUAUGAUACGAGAAAAUUAAUAUUAAUUAAUAGAAGACUCUUACUAAUUAACCUACGGUUAUAUAAUUUCAUCCACAACAUCUAUACACGCUUACCGCCAUUGUAACUUUUGCUGCUGAAGCCUGAAUUUGAUUGUAGAGAAGAACGAUUGAGUUGAAGAGUAUGAUAGUAUGAAUAUGUCAAACAAGGUGCUAUAUGCUCUCUAUAAAUAGAACAUGUAAUUUGAUAAAAUAAUGGGAAUGAUUGGACUUGUAACUUAUUAUAUAAUUUAAUAUUGGACCGACUUUCUUUUCAUAUAAUUACUUUGCAAAUGAGAUGCUGGAUCUUGAAGGAAAGACCUACGAGAAUUAAUUAAUUAUCAAAGAAAAUUAGACUCUACCAUGUUAAAGAGGACGUCGUCAUAGACAAAUUCAUAAUGCAAGGGCGUGCACAUAGGUAAUCAUUCUCCUCUAUGAGCAUUGACUUUGCAGCCUGGUAUUAAUAAAUAUUGACAAAAAUAAAUAAUUACAUAAUAUAGAAGUGCAAAGCAAGUUUACAAUUAAUAUGCUUAAAAGAGUAUGAUUAACUCAUGUCACUUGACCGUUGGAACCGGUGGUGGAAAUUGUAAACUUCACAUGAUAUAUAGCGAUUCCAUCGGAUCCUGUUCUUUUCAUUCUCUCAUGAAGAAGUAAUGAUUUUAUUUUAUUUUAAUUCGAAUUAGUGUUUGAUUGUUAUACCAGUUAAUUAUUAGUAAAAAAAAAACAAUAUAAAUUGCAUCCUGAAAUUUUCUCUAAUUAAAUUUAUUUAAAUUUGUGAGUACUAAAAGGAAUAUAUUUGGUGAAAAUUUACAAGUUAAUAUAUUUUUUUAUUUUAGUUUUCACUGUUUUUCUUAAAAAACCAUGCAUGGUAAUACAAGCGCAUUCAAGUUGUAGAAAAACAUUUAUGAAUUGAAAAAACAAAACCUAAUUACAAAAAAUAAAGAAAUUAGCAUCACACGACAAUUAGCGAAAAGAUCUUCUUAUAUGUGUCUAAAUAUACAAUCUUUCAUGUAUUUCAGUUUUCAUCAAAAACUUUGCACCCAAAAAAAAAAACUCAAAACUAAUUCAUAAAAGGAAGCGAUUUUGGCAUCAGGAUCAGAAUUCUGUGAGGCAGAAAGGCACUUGAAAAUGUUUUCGAAGAUAUAGAUAUUUAUUCUCUUCAAGAUUCUCUCUACUGUUGAUGUACAUGAUUAUUUCCUCCAGGAUAUAGGUAUAUUCUUCAUCAAGAAUUUUAGACGUAUUACAUUUAAGUAUAUCAUCAUAAAAUAAUUCUUCAAAGUAUAUAUAGUUCUUAUAUUCUAAUUUUUUAAAUGCAAAUUAGUUAAUAUGUUCCAGGUUAUUAUAUAUUAUGAUUUUCUGUGUCUUAUUAAUGUACACAAUAAUAAUUUUCAAUGAAAAUAAGUCUCUCCUUCAUAAUGAUGCACUCUCUGAGUUUCCAGAGGGAUAAGGUGUGUAUUCAAUUAUUAGAAUUAUUUUUUAUUCUUCAUUGAAAAAUUAAGCACAAUUCUCGUAUAGAUUGAAAAAAAAUGAUAAAUGGGCAGAUGCUAAAUCCAAUUGGAAUGUGUAAUGACCUGUUAAAAGUUAGGGAAAGUGUAAAAAUAUGUAGCAGAAAACCAAUCUCGAGUUUAAUUGCUUGUACCUACGGUAUAUAUCACAUCAUUCUUCGGAUCAAACUGUCUACAUGUGUGCAUGGAAUCCUAUGAUAUUGAAUUAAUAUAAAUAUAUAAUACUAUUUUAUACUUUUUGUUUGAUUGAUUUAGAUAAUUAUUUAAUAUGAUAUUUAAUACAGGUUUAUCAAAUAAUUAUAAAUUAAAAUCCUAUUAUAUACAAUAAUUCAUGAUAUUCAUUCAAAAUUUAACCAAUUUUCUGGGUUGAAUCGUUUUUUAUAUAAAAAAUAAUAAACAAUGGCCAGAACGUUUUUUAACAUGAACAACGUUUUUUAGCAUCAUGGGAAUAAUUUCUAGGCAUAAUGGGCCUUACAGCAAAAUGGUCUGAACGUGGGCUUUAUAAGUCUAAAGUCAGGAUUAUAGAUCGAGUCAUAAGGUCCAAAACGAAGUUGACUUCUCCUUUUUACUUCAUGUGAUUUCUAAUUCCAUCUAAUCUUUCCUUUCAUAUGGACUUUAACAAAAAAAAAAAAAAAACCAACGUUUUUGACGUUAAUAAUGAUAUAAAAUAGCAUAAUUUGCAAUACCUUCCAUUUAAUUAUUGUAAUAUUAUAUGAAUUAUCUAAAUGUUUAAAGAUUUUGAUAAAAAUUUCCUUUAUAUUUAAUAAAUAUUACAAAAACUCCUUUACGUAUCCCAAGUCGCCGUAGUUUAAACAAUAUAUAUAGUAUAUAAUAUAAAUAUAUAAUAUUAAAAUCAAUUUCUAUCAAAUGUGUUAAUAUUGUGUUGACAAAGCAUUUUUAUUUAAAACAGAAGCUAUCAAGAUUUGAUUCUUAGUUUAAAUAAUUUUUAUAAAAAAAAGUUAAACGGAUCAACUCAAAAAACUAAUUUAAUUUCAAAUUAAACUCUAAUUAAACUCUAAAUCAAUCUGCUUUACUCGAUCAACCCCCUCCCCCCUAAAAAAACAAAAACAAAAAACACAAUGAGACAGGAUUGCAUCAGAAUUAAACUUGGGCUCUAUGGACAAACCUGCAGAGGGGACGAGACAGUUUAUGAAAUAUAUAUUUUUAUUUUUAAAAUUUAUUUUUAAUAUAACACAUCAAAAUAAUAAAAAAAUAUUAAUUUAAAAAUAAAAACAAAAAUUCCACCCUAGAGUCUUCUUUUCCGCGGAUGACGAGGUUUUGAGCAAUGCGAAACACGUUGAACAGGACCGAAACUUGAUUCUCGAAUCAUUUCAAGCACCGAAACCAGUGAAGAAAUGGACCAGACUUGUGUUCUUUGCUCUUAUUUUUAUACAAGAAUAUGGUUGUUUUUUGAAAUUUAUUUUUUAAAAAAUUACUUUUUAAAACUUUUUUAUAUUUAUUUGUUAUCAUAAAAAAUUGAUUAAUGAAAAACACUUUCCAGUUAAAGAAAAAAAAUUUGGUUUGGUUUUUAGGAAAGUAUUUUCCGAAAAAUUUGGAUGGAAAAUACUUUCUGGAAGUUGUGAAAAAUUUAGAAAUGUGAUAUUAUUUGCUGAUUAUAUUAAAUUUGGUCCUCAACCUUUUGAUUGCUAUAUAUAUUUUAUUUUAAAUAUUUAUUUUUCAAUUUCAUCCCUUAAAAUUUAAUUUUUAUAUUAACUUUAAUCCUCAUUUUUAUAAUUUUUAUUUGCUUUUUCCUUAUCAUUUUUUUAUUAAAAUUUUUUAUGUAUUAAAUUUGUCCUCAUUUUUUUGAUUGUUACUUAUUUUAUUUGAAAUAACUUAUGAAGUGUUAAUUAUUAUUAUUUUAAUUUCUUCAUCUUAUAUUUUUUUUAUUUUUUAGAUUUGAUCUUUAUUAUUUUGAUUAUUAUUUAUUUUAUUAGAAAUAAUUUAUGAAAUUUUUUUUUUUAAUUUUAUUUUCAUUCAACUUUUUAAUUUGUAAGAUUUGUUCCUCAUUAUUUUAAUAAACUUGAGAAAAAUAAAAUAUUAAUAAGUUAUUUUUCAGUUUAUUUUUCAUGAUAUAAUCAAAUACUAGAAAGUGUUUUUUAAUUUAUUUUUUAUUAUAAUACCAAACAUAAAAAAAAUUAAUUUACUUUUCUAAAAUUUAAUUUUUAAAAAAAAAGUUUUCAACAAGCAAACAGGCUUAAUUGCGUUCAUACUUUUCACCGUGUGAACAUGUUGACAAAGGCUACGUACGAGACAAGAUAAAAAAUCAAAUCAGUCCAGAAAUUAUUUGCUCAAGGCAAGGGAAGAAAAUUCAAAAGCAGCUGCCAGCCAAGCAAAUGCCAAAUCACUGGUAAAGUUAACCGAUCAGAAAUAUUUGUGGGACCAGGAAAUCUUCGCACGGUCUAAUUCUGGGACCAUACCAUGUGGCAUUCAAGAGUCAAUUUUUAUUUUUUUAUUUUUUUAUUAUCGUCAAAAAUUUUAAAAUAUAGCACAAAGAAUAAAAGUAUUUCAAAAAUAAAAUACUUUGAUUUAACCGUUUCUUAUGAAACGCUAUUUUAUUGUACACCCACAGCCACUAAUAGAAAUAGUAAAAUAACAGCUGUUGCGUCGAGGCUUGUGGCAAGUGUUCUUGGCAAGGGUUUUUUUUUUUUUUUUCCUCCGUCUCCUAGUUUCGAGUCUCAGUAUAUAUGUUUAUCAUUUCUAUGGUGUUUUAUUUGUUUAAAGUGAAUCUAGAAAUUAAUUAUAGUACACCCAGACAUCCCAAAUUAAAAAAAAUAUAAUAAUAAAAAAUAACCGCUAUUGUUAUUAGUGGUUAUAUUAAUAAAUAUAUAUAUUUUUAUAAAAAACUCAAAUUCUACCCAAAGUCUUCGUUUCCGCGGAUGACACGUUAAAAUUGGGCUCCGUGGACAAAAAUGCAGAGGGGACGGAACAGCAGUGGAAGGAAAAAGAAAAGGACAGACUUGUGUUCUUUGUCUGUGAUAUUAUUUUUAUUUAAAAUACUGUUUUAAAAAUAAUUUAAAUUUUUUUAAUUUUUAAUUAUUAUUUUUUUAAUAUUUUAUACUGAUGUUAAAAAUAAUUUUUAAAAAAUAAAAAAAAUAUUAUUGUAAUACUUUUAUAAAUAAAAUACUUAAAAAAUAAUUUAACAUGCAAACCAAGCCCAACUGUCAUGUUAAAAUUAUGUGAAGAGAAUGAAAUUGAAAAUAAUAAUAAUAAUAAAAUGAAUAAUUGAUUAUGGAUAAAAAAAAAAAAAAAAAAAGCAAGUCGGAAUUAGAUGCACUGACUGCAUAUAGGAUAUAAUUGUGCAUAAUUGCUUGCUUUUCUAUCACUGUCACUGCAUAAAUUCCAGCUUUUCUGUUCAAAGAAUUUCAGAUCUUUUGUCCAUGCAUGUAUUUGACGCUAAAAGUUAAUCAAUGGCAACAGGAAAAGCUUAUAUAUAUUUUAUGUAUAUAUAAUUGUUGAAUCCAGCAUUAGUUCAAUAAAUAAUUGUUGAAUCCAGAUGAUAUAUUGAUUGGUAGUUGAAUUAGAGUAUUUUGCUUUUGAUAACUUUAGUGGAUUCACUUUUCUCCUUGCAUGCAUUAAUUAACUUGGGCUCAAAAUAACUAGAUAUAUAAAAAGUUUUUAAAAAGACCCAUAAAACUAAAAAAAAUAAGUUUUUAAAAACCUAUGAAAAGUCAGUAAAAUCCCAUAAAAACUCAAAAAAAGCAAAACAAGUUUUGCCAGUUUUUGUUAAAAAAAAACCAAACUAUCAUAACUUAAAGCUCUUUUAGUGAAAGGUUUCCUUUUUACGAUAUAGAAAAAGAAGGCAGAUAAAUAUAUACUUGAGUGAGUCACAUAUCAACGACAAAACUUGACUGAUCCUGUGCAUGGCCAUGACAUUUUUUCUCUAUGACAAGACCGCUAAAAAGAAAUGGUACGAUAGAAGAAGUGGCCAUGGACAGCGAGGUCAAGGAGAAAUGGCCGGCCAUGGACCCCUAUAAAGUCCGAAUCAAGAUGUGAAAGAAAGGAAAGGUGGAAGAGAGCCCUCUUUCUUUUAGUGGUGAUAUUGGUAUUAGCAAGUUAGCCCACUACUAGCUACCGGUAAAUGUCUUUGCAUUCAAAGUGCGAGAAUACUUGUCUAAAACGAAUACUUUUAGAAAGAUUACAGGCAUAUAUAUGGCUUCCAUACCAUUGGCUUAACACUAACAGCAUAGGUAAUGAAAUUGUGAAAAACAUUUAGAUAAAAAUUGGGUUUUUCAUGGCCGUCCUGGGUUGAUGGUGUGGUUGGGCUUGGCAGGUUCAUGAGCUUUUCUACAAAAUAAAACGCUUGUAAACAAUAGAAAACUCUUUGAUACUAAAAUUAGUAAGUAUAAGAGUGCAGAGUGUGCAGAGUUUUUGUGUGUAGAAUGGAAGAUACUAUUUUAGUCUGUAUUUCCAGGACUUAUCUCUUGUAUAACUUGGCUCUAGCUUUGUGUGGCUUAGAACUGAUAUCUUGCAAGGCUAAAGCUUUCAAUAGCUAAGAGUAGCUUUGGCUUUCUUUUAUAUAUAUAUAUAUAUAUAUAUAUAUAUGGAGAUGUAGUCUUGAACUUAUUUUAUGGAGAAAAAAAAUAUUUUCAUAAAAAAUUAAGUCAUUAGAUGAUGUGUCUUGCUUGCUAUUAGUGGAGAUGUUGGUGGCAAUAUUUUCUUACCAAUUUUGUAAUGUGUUAUGGAGAUUUUUUUUUCUAUUUGUUUAAAUUGCAUCUUAUUCUUCAGGAGAUUUCCAGGAUUUUUUUUUUUUUUUUUAUGGUUAAAGCUAGACAACAAUCUCCUUAUCUUCAGUUCUUCAAGCCACAAUGUCCCUGAUAAUUCAAAACCACGGGAAAGUGAUUCAUGCCAAGUUGGGGGCAGUUUUGUCUAGUAACUAACGGUAAUCAAUACAUUAGGAAUUGAUUUUUUUGCCAUCAAUACAUUUUUACUCCGACUUCAAAUUAGUAACUACACCAAAUUUCGAAAAAUACUCAGUUAUUGUAUAGAUGAUUGAAGAAGAACAAAUAAAAUUCUAUUUCUUUUAAGGACAAAGCAAAAAUUUGUGGUUAAGGAAGGUGGUUGUAGUUGCUUUUCAAAGUGUUUUUUCAUGUCGAAAUACAUCAAAAUGAUAUUUUUUUAUUUUAUAAAAAUUAUUUUUGAGAUCAGUGUAUCAAAACAAUCUAAAAUAUACAAAAAAAUUAAUUUUUCACAAAAAAAAAUUGAAUUUAUUAGAAACACGGGUUGGCCAUACGUGGUUCCAAGCUCAAAGAAUUGAAACACACAAUGCUAUAAAAUUUGAUCCAUAUGUGGUCUGUUGAGGAAAGAAAGGGCUAGAAUAAUUGCAUGAUGAUCUACAAUGAGUGAAAAAAUUGAGGUUCUUAGUGCCAUAUCUUAUUUGAUUUUUAUAUAUUUAUUUAGCCUUUUUUUUCUUUAAAAGUUGGAUGAUCUAUUUCAAUAAAUUCAGAGGCAAUUCAGCCAAGUAUAUUCUUAAAUUCAAAGUGGCAGAAAAACCUGCACCAAAAAUUGAUACUUGCUGUAUUAAAGCAACUUUCAAAGUCUUCUUAACAAGACAAACCCUAUUUAUGACAUUGAUGCAUACCAACCGUUGCUUUAAUUUUUCUUUUCCGCAAAAAACAGUUCCUUUAGUUCUUGCCUUGGAUCCAAGUCUAAAAUUUAAAUGUGGCUGACAACCUUCGUGGAAAGUUCAAUUUUUAAAGUAGCUUGACCUUCUUCGUCUCUUGAACCCAAAAAUACUCUAUUAUGAUUGUCCUAGCAAACAUGCUCUUAAAGCCACAUUAUCCUUGAUAAUUCUAACCAUGGGAAAGAGAUUGCUUUUGCUUUUAUAUAUAUUUUUUAAAAGUAAAUCAAAAUAAUAUUUUUUUUAGUGUUUUUUAAUAAUUUUGAUAUGUUAAUUUUAAAAGUAAAAAAAAUUAAAAAAAAUAUUAUUUUAAUAUAUUUCAAGCAAAAAAUAUUUUUUAAAAAUAACACAUAUUGUAAUAUCAAACAUACACUAAGUCACAUGCAAUUUUGUCUAAUACCUAGUUAAUGUAGCUAACUACCUGAUAGUAACCUGUAGCAGUACAACCAUGAAACGACAAGUCAAAAUUAAAAUAUAUCAUUAGAAUUGAAAAAAUAAAACGCCAAUUAGAACAAAAUGGACUGUGAUUAUAGGAGGGACCACAUGCUGUUAAUAUAUUUAUUAUGAAAUAUAUCCUUGAAUGAGGAAAUUUAUGAGAUAUGCUUGUGAUUACAGAAGGGACCACGGGCGUGGUGUAGCAACAACAACAUGCAGCAGAGAGGCACAGGUAGAGCUUUUAGAUAGGUGAUCUGCACCUAUACUUUCUAGUUAAGUUUCAUGAUUUAAUAUGUUAUUGAUGUGAAAUAUGAAUUAAUGAAUGUUGGAUAUUAUAUGAAAGAAUGAAAGUUUACGUAAUGAUGUUGUUAUUUUGGAUAGUAUCCCGAAUGUAUAUGUGUUUAAGGUGAAAGGUCUUUCACAUGAAUUGCCAAGUGAUAGAAGUAUCGCUGACAUUCAAAAUAUGAGAAGAGUGAUAUGUGGCAUGGACUAAUAUAUAUUUUAGUGUAUGUUAGAAUCUCAGGUAAGGGGAUCACCAUGCAUCGAUGCUUAUGGGGCAUGGACGAGCAUACAUUUAAUGUAUGUUAGGAUCCUUGGAAAGGGGAUCACCAUGUAUAGACUAGCAUAUAUUUAGUGUAUGUUAGGAUCUCGGGUAAGGGGAUUAUCAUGUAUCGGCUAGCAUAUAUUUAGUAUAUGUUAGGAUUUCGGGUAAGAGGAUCAUCAUGCAUUGACUAGCAUACAUUUAGUGUAUGUUAGGAUUCCGGGUAAGAGGAAUAUCAUGCAUCAAUGUCUAUGGGGUGAUGAUGAUACCGGUGAAAUUGGUAUCGACAAUGUGUUAGGCAGAAAUAGUUGUGGUUGAUUUUAUGGAAUCUUGAAUGGAAGUUGAAAAUAAAAGAUGAAACAGUUUUUAGUAGUUGAAUGAGAAAGAGUUCCAUUGAAAACUAAAAGGAAGAAGUGAAUAGAAUAUGAAUACAUGUUUGCCUUUUUAGAUUGUUGGAUUUUUUGGCGUUACUAUAUUUAUUGUGAUAUUCAUGUUUCAAUAAUAUGUAUUUUGUUCAGGAUCAUCGCAUGCACGACAGGAGUAGAUCCUAACUUUUGUUCAUUUUUUGUUAUCUAGUUAUAGGGAGUAUAUCUUUGUAUUUUGUAAUAUUAAAACAUUUAUAUAACUUAAUUUGUAUAAUUAAUGUUUAAAUUUGAAUAGAUGAACUUAACUCUGAAAUUCAUAUAAUCAUGUUCCAAGCAUGCGUGUUUAUCUCAUUUCUUUCUCUAUAAUGGUAAUUGUUGUUCAAUGUUUGCUGUAAAUAUUAUGGUUGUGAUGAUGAUGAUGAUGAUUGAUUUGUGAGAUGUGGGAUAUUAGAAGUGUAAACAGGUUAUUUGUCGAUAACUUGGGAUCUCCUGGUAUAGGGAAGACUCUGUUGAAAUUUCGGUAGAAAUUUUUGUAGAUUUUUAUAUGAAAACUGUAUAAAAAAAAUUACAUUGUUUUUCAUUUGAUAUGUGAUUGGUGUUUUAUAAGGGGAUAUUACAUAUCUGAUUUCAUCAUUCUACAUUAAGUCUCUCUCUCUCUCUUUUUUAAAUUUUGAUACUUUUUAAUAUGUUUUUUUAAAUAUAUGUUUCAAUUAAUAUCCCUCCUCUAUGAUUUUUUAUUUUGCUUAUUCAUUACGCCAUUAAACAGUUUUACCGACGGAUUAAUUCUGUCGGUAUAAGGAACAAAAAUUGUCAGUAAUAAUGUUACCGACGGAAUCUCCGACGGAAUAAUGCCGUCAGAGUCAUGAGCGUCGGUAAUUUCGCAUUCCGUCGCAAUUUCUGUCGGUAAUAAAAAAACAAUUACCGACGGAAAUGCCAACGGUAUUACAGACGGCUAUGCGCGCCAAAAAAAAAAUUUCAACGGUAAUUACUGACGGAUAUUCCAUCGGUGAUUGUGGCAUGGAAUUACCACAUGAAAUAAAAAAGCUCCGUAAAAGAAGGAUACAGCACAGUCAGUCACGUGAACCACAUGAAAUAAAAAAGCUCCGUAAAAGAAGGAUACAGCACAGUCAGUCACGUGAACCACAUGAAAUAAAAAAGCUCCGUAAAAGACCACUUAUAAAAACUAAGUUUUUUGUUUUAUCCAAACACUAUAAUCCGUGUUUGUGAUAAAAAAAUAGAUAUUUUAAAAUAAUUUUAUUGUGAUGAUAUUAAAAAUAAUAUUUUUUAAAAUAAAAAAUAUUAUUUUAAUAUAUUUUUAAAUUAAAAAUAUUAAAAAAAAAAACAAUAUUUGACACUCUCUCAAAUACCCCUUCAUCCAGGGAGGCAACAAACCACAGAAAUCAGCAGCUUGUGAUCAGUUGAGGAGUGGAACCUUCAUUUGUUUACAUUUCAUUUAGUGAGUUUCUCUAAGCUACAAAAUAGAAUGGAUCCUGUCUUGUUCAAAGUUGCAGAAGCAGGCAAUAUCGGUCCCUUCGAGAAUUGUCAAACCUGCCUUGAUCAGUUAUUGACACCAGACGAGAACACCAUUCUUCAUGUCUACUUGAAAAACCAAAGCAGAGAACCGGAAUUCACUGAUUUUGUUGAUACAAUUCUUGUGGCUUGGACAAGUGUAAUAACAGCCCGGCCUUGUCAUAAAGAGUUGCAAGGUCAACAAGAAAGGUGUAGGGUUAUAUUUUUGAUAGUAUGCAUUUGACAUUGAAGGGAUGGUUAAGAAAAAAAUUAUCACUUCAAGUUUUGGCGGGGCUGCCCAAGGUGUCACCCAGGCCCACGCCUCCAAGUGAGGGCACUUGGCGCUUGGAUUGACCUGUCCAUGUGCUGGGGUAGGCCACACGCCACGUGGUGUUGGGGCUGACUUGCCUUUGACCUUGCCCUGGCAUGAGUAAGGCACACACCCUCAUGUGGGGACACGAUCACGACCAACUCCAGGUUGGGCCUGGACCUGUCCGUGCCCAACCACAAGUUGGACUAGGACGCGUCCAUGUCCACCCCCACGUCAGUUUUUUAAUAUUAUUAUGUGUUUAAAAUAUUAUUAUUUUUAUUAUAACUCAAAAUAUUGAUAUAAAAAAUAUUAUUAUUUGUAUUGUAAUCGUCCUUGAAAUUUUUAAUAUAAUUAUUUAUGUUAUAAAUAUUAUUAUUUUUAUUAUAAUUAAUAGUAUGAAUAUUAAAAAUAUUAUCAUUUUUGUUAUAAAAAAUAUUAUUUUUAUUAUAAUUAAUAUUAUUAAUAAAAUAAUUUAAAAAUUUUUAAAAAUAUUAUUAUUAAUAUUAAAAAAUAUUAUUUUUUAUAUUAUAAAUUUCUAUAAUAUUUUUUAUAAAAAUAAAAAGUGAGCAGCUGUAAUGUGAACAUCCUGCUAGUAUACACUAAAUCUCCUACCAUUUGUCUAGUAGCUAGUUAAUGCAACCACCAACCUGAUAGUAAUUUGUACUUGUACAACCCUGAAAUGACAUUUUAAAACACUUUAAAAUUAAAAUAUGUGGUUCCAAUUAAAAAAAUAAAAAAGCCCAAAUACAACAAAAUAGACAAUUUGUGGUAUAAUCUGUGUUUUUGUUCAAAAUGUGAAAAAAAAUUGAAUUUUUUUUUUAUUAUAAGUUAAUUUGUUUUAUAUUUUUAUAUAAUUUUAAUGUGAUAUAUCAAAGCUGCGGAAGAAGGCAAUAUCGAUCCCUUCAAGAAUGAUCAAACCUGCCUCAAUCACUUAUUGACAAAAGUGACGUGGAUACACAUAGACGAGUCCAAGUUCAAUAAUAAUGAUGGAUGGGCCAAACAAUUUAUUUUUUUAUUUUCUUAUUAUUUUGAUAAAACAGAUAUAACUUUUCGGCAGGGCAAAAAAAAAAAGAUAUUGCGACAAAAUAUCAAAAAGGAAAAUAAAUGUAAUUUGUGGUUAUUAACGCUUUUUCUUCCUUUAAAUACCAAAGAAAUCAGCAGCAGCUUGUGAUCAGUUGAGGAGUGGAACCUCUUGCCUUUGAGCCACAGUGGUUAAUUUCACCUCCCCUUCAUUUGUUUACCUUUCAUUUAGUGAGUUUCUCCAAGCUACAAAAUAGUAUGACGACCUAUAUGGAUCCUGUCUUGUACAAAGCCGCAGAAGAAGGCAAUAUCGAUCCCUUUGAGAAUGAUCAAACCUGCCUCAAUCAGUUAUUGACUCCAGACGAGAACACCAUUCUUCAUGUCUACUUAGGAAACCAAAGUAGGGAGCCGGAAUUCACUUGUUUUGUUGAUAAAAUUCUUGAAAUGUGUCCACCACUGUUAUUGCAGGCCAAUAAGAAAGGUGAAAUCCCACUCCAUUUGGCAGCAAGAUAUGGUCAUUCCAACGUGGUAAAGGUCCUCAUUGACUGUGCCAAAGCUCUACCUACUGAUCCAGAGAGCGGCGUAACAGAAGCAAAAAAGAUGUUGAGGAUGACCAAUGAAGAGCAAGAUACAGCGUUGCACGAGGCAGCUCGAAAUAGUCGGGGCCAUGUGGUGGAAAUAUUGACUAAAGAGGACCCUGAGUUUUCAUAUUCCGCCAAUGUUCUUGGAGAAACUCCACUUUAUAUUGCAGCUGCUUCCAGAAAGUGUCUAGAACGAAAAAAGGUGAUCGAUGAAAUCCUAACUAAUUGCAUUUCAGUGGACUAUGGCGCCGGCCCUAAUGGUAGAACUGCUCUACACGCGGCAGUCAGGGUGCGAGAUCUUGGUAGGAUUUUGUGCUCAAGUCUGGAGAAUUAAAUAAUUUAUAUAUAAUAGUGUAAACUAUAAUUUAAAAUCCACGUAUAUUUGAUUUUAUAUAUCCGUGUUUGCUUCAUAAUUAGCUUUUCUUUUUUAAAAAAAGAAACUUUGUGAGUUUAAGUAUUGGAUAUAUAAGUAGAUAAUUAUGAGUUUUAAAAAAGACACUUCAUAAGUAAUUCACUUAUAUAUAUUAGGGAUAUAUAAGUGAUUUUUAAAAAAAAAUUUAUGUUUAUUUAUCAUUAAAAAAGUUGAUAAACGAAAAAUACUUUUCAAUUAAAAAAACUUUCACCUGAUUUUUAAUAAAGUGAUUUCUUUUUAUUUUAGGUGGGAAAUAUUUUUUAGAAGUGAAAAAUUUAGAAAUAUCAUUUUAUUUACUAAUUAUAUCAAAUUUGAUCCUCAAACUUUUGAUUGCUAUAUAUUUUAUUUUGAAUUUUUUUUUCAAAUUUCAUCCCUUAAAUUUUCAUUUAAUUUUAUUUUAAAAAAGUUGAUAAACGAAAAACAUUUUUCAAUUAAAAUUUUUUUUGACCUGGUUUCUAAUAAAGUGAUUUUUUUUUAAUUUCAGGUGAGAAAACUUUUUAGAAGUGAAACAUUUAGAAAUAUCAUUUUAUUUACUGAUUAUAUCAAAUUUAGUCCUUAAAUUUUUUAUUGUUAUAUAUUUUAUUUUGAAUCUUUUUUUUUUCAAAUUUCAUCCCUUAAAAUUUGAUUUAAUUUGAUUUUUAUAUCAACUUUGGUUCUCAUUUUUAUCAUUGUUAUUUUUUUCUCUUAUCAUUAAUUGAAUUUUUUUAUCUAUAAGAUUUAGUCCUUAUUUUUUAUUGUCAUUUAUUUUAUUUGAAAUAAUUUAUGAACUUAUAUAUUUUUUUAAUUUUUUUAUCAGUUAGAUUUGAUCUUUAUUAUCUUAAUUGUUAUUUAUUUUAUUUGAUAUUAUUUAUGAAAUUAGAUUUUUUUUCAAUUUUAUUUUUAUUCAACUUUUUAAUUUAUAAGAUUUGCUCCUUAUUAUUUUAAUAAACUUGAAAAAAGAAUAUUAAUAAAUUUUUUUCCAACUCAUUUUCCAUGAUAUAGUCAAAUAUUAGAAAAUAUUUUACAACUUAUUUUUUAUGAUACUAACAAACAUUGAAAAAUAAUUUAUUUUGCAGAAAAUUAUUUAUCAAGAAACCACUUUUCUCUUAAAAAACAAAAUCAUAAAACGUGGCAUAAGUGAAAUCUCUGUUGUUGAUGAAGGAAAACUUUUAUUCCUUGUUUUGUUGGUUUCAGAGACAGCAAGAAAAUUGUUAGAAAAAGAAAAGAAAUUGACGCAAACAACCGAUGAGAACGGCUGGUCACCACUUCACUACGCUGCCUGUUAUGACUGGUCUCCUCGUAUAGUGCAAGUAUUACUAGAAAAUGAUGCGUCUGCGGCCUACAUUGCUGAAACAGAGAAGAGGAGAACAGCACUUCACAUUGCUGCUAUUCAAGGACAUGUAGAAAUAAUGAAAGAGAUUGUUUCUCGAUGUCCAGCUUGUUGUGAGCUAGUUGAUAACAGAGGUUGGAAUGCCCUUCACUAUGCUGUGGCCAGGAAAGAUAGCAGCAGAGUAUUCAAGGAAUGUCUGAGGAUUCCAUUACUUGCAAGACUUAAAACGAAGAAGGAUGACAAAGGAAACACGCCCUUCCAUCUAAUUGCUGCUUUAGCGCGCGAGCAGAGGAAAUGGGCACGUGUUUUAUUUAACGAAAGGAAGAUAUGUAUUCUUAAUAAGCGAAAGCUAAGCGCCAAGGACAUUUAUAGAGGAAAUUUUGGAGAGAUACAGGUAAUCAAUCCUCUAUGAAUUAACUGUUGUGAUAAUUAAUGCAUCCAUGAAACCCCCACACACACAAUAUAUAUAUAUAUAUAUAUAUAUAUAUAUAUAUAUAUAUAUAUAUAUAUAUAUAUAUAUAUAUAUAUAUAUAUAUCCAUUAAUGAAUCAAUUUAUCGAUUUCUCAAUUUGGGUUUUGAAUAUAAUUAAAUCACAGCAAACUGGUUUUCCUUUGCAUCUCCGAUUCUUUUAGCUCCGCAUCUUAAUCAUAUCCAUCAAAUGGGAUCAGUUCUGUAUCAUCUUACGAGUAUCUUCUAUUUUUUGUUUUGUUUUAAAAAUGUAUUUUAUUUAAAAAAAUUAAAUUAAUAUUUUUUUAUUUUUUUUAUAAUUUUGAUAAGCUAAUAUUAAAAAUAAAAUAAAAUUAUAAAAAAUUAUUUUUAUAUACUUUUAAAUAAAAAAGACUUUUAAAAAUUAUCUAUGUCGGAGUACUAAAUAUAAAAAUAAAGUAAUCUGAAUAACUUAAUAAUCUUUUUUAUUUGGAAUGAAGUCAUUUUAACAGAUUAUGCAUAUGAAUCGCAUGUAACUGUUUUAUAAAAACAUAUAUUAUUCAAUAAAAAAAACAAUAGUACAAAUGAAUGGAAAAAAAUACAAUUAAUUAAAAUUUUAAAAAUCUGAGAAUUAAAGUUGAAAAAUCUAAUAGAAACUUAACAUAAUCUUACAAGC